rnacentral:lncRNA from 1 species
GCAUCGUCUACAUAGAUAAUGCUGCGCAUGCAAGUUUGGGGUAUUCUCAAGAGAAGGUUAUUACGAGGAGAUUUAGGCAAAGUGUUAGAAUUACAACAAGAAAUCUUUACUGUUACGAAGAAAGAACAAAAGGGAGCACUAAAGGAGAGGCCCAACAGAAAGAGUAUUAAAUCUGGGUACCUCAAAGACUACCUCUAACGGCCUUGACGCUGACUUGACAACCUUGUCCCCUACUUGCAU